CUGUCCAUCCGGUCACUCGUGGGAGUGGCGGCCUUUGGGUGGUACAGUUGUCAUUGAUCCGGCCUCUCGACCAUACAGGGGUCAUGGUGCAGAGAGGUGGGCGGGGUGACCAUCCGUGCAUAUGCUGUUAUUAUGCCUGUUUUGGCUGCUGCUGGUUACUUAUGUCGUUAUUGCUUACUUAUGCUGCUGUGGUAUCUUUAUGUUGCCGUUGUUUCUUGUUGUUGUUCACUUAUGAUGAUAUGCUGUCUUAUGUUGAGAUAUGCUCACGUUGUAGGUGAUUAAACCUUGGUUUAUUAAUUAGAAAUGUUUAUAUGCCUCACCCAUUACCUUUGUAGUUAUGAGCAGUACUGUAGCAGGUUGGUACCAUUUCUGACUUUCUAUAUCUGGCCUAGGAUACGGUUCCAGGUAACAGAUAGAUGAGUCAUGGAUGCUUGGAGAGAUGCCGGCUGCCAGUCCUGGGUCCCACGUCAUAUUCGAAAAUUGAUUUUGGUUCUGUUUCUCUUUACUUGCAUUUCGUAUUCGUUGGAUUUGGUGUUGUGAGAACUAUGUUUUGAUAUUUGUUGGAUGGACUUGGUAUCUGAGAUGUUUUGAUAACUUUGCAAUUUGUGGGUUUUUCUCUUCGUUUUC